AACGAACGCUGGCGGCAUGCCUAACACAUGCAAGUCGAACGAGACCUUCGGGUCUAGUGGCGCACGGGUGCGUAACGCGUGGGAACCUGCCCUUAGGUUCGGAAUAACUCCCCGAAAGGGGUGCUAAUACCGGAUAAUGUCUUCGGACCAAAGAUUUAUCGCCUUUGGAUGGGCCCGCGUUGGAUUAGCUAGUUGGUAGGGUAAAAGCCUACCAAGGCGACGAUCCAUAGCUGGUCUGAGAGGAUGAUCAGCCACACUGGGACUGAGACACGGCCCAGACUCCUACGGGAGGCAGCAGGGGGGAAUAUUGGACAAGGGGCGAAAGCCUGAUCCAGCAAUGCCGCGUGAGUGAUGAAGGCCUUAGGGUUGUAAAGCUCUUUUACCCGGGAUGAUAAUGACAGUACCGGGAGAAUAAGCGCCGGCUAACUCCGUG
rnacentral:rRNA from 1 species